GAUGAACGCUGGCGGCGUGCUUAAUACAUGCCAGUCGAGCGAACGGACGAGAAGCUUGCUUCUCUGAUGUUAGCGGCGGACGGGUGAGUAACACGUGGAUAACCUACCUAUAAGACUGGGAUAACUUCGGGAAACCGGAGCUAAUACCGGAUAAUAUUUUGAACCGCAUGGUUCAAAAGUGAAAGACGGUCUUGCUGUCACUUAUAGAUGGAUCCGCGCUGCAUUAGCUAGUUGGUAAGGUAACGGCUUACCAAGGCAACGAUGCAUAGCCGACCUGAGAGGGUGAUCGGCCACACUGGAACUGAGACACGGUCCAGACUCCUACGGGAGGCAGCAGUAGGGAAUCUUCCGCAAUGGGCGAAAGCCUGACGGAGCAACGCCGCGUGAGUGAUGAAGGUCUUCGGAUCGUAAAACUCUGUUAUUAGGGAAGAACAUAUGUGUAAGUAACUGUGCACAUCUUGACGGUACCUAAUCAGAAAGCCACGGCUAACUACGUG
rnacentral:rRNA from 1 species